CUUAUGCACAAAUUCUUUUCUAGCCUUCUCCAUUCUAUUGAACCUGCCCUGUAUAUUCUUUUUUCUUUCUUCCUGUUGAAACAAUCGAAUAAACGAAUUAUGAGUUGAAGAUGGUUGUUUUAAUUCGAAGAUGGUUGUAUUAAUUUGAGGCAAAAUCAACACUUGUUUGAAUCGGUGAAGAGACAAAAAAUACGAAAUUAGGGUUUGCAGAGAUUAGAGAUGUGUUUUGAAUCUUUUGAUGGAGGAGAUCAAGGAUCAAGAUUCGAACAAAUAGGAGAUGUGUCUUUUGAUGGUGAUUCUUGAUAUACACAUCAACUAACCCUAAUUCUGUAUCUUUCUUCCUCCAUUCCGUUGGCAACAGAAGCAACUUCUUCUUCGUUCAACUUCAAAAUCAGCUGCAACCACAAUUUCAUUCAAACACAACCCAAAAUUCUGUAACUUGAGCAACCCAAACUCAUGAAAUCAAACAUUCAUCCCUCUUGUUGGUCUCACCUCCAUGACAGUACCUUCAAACUUCAAACCUAGAUUGAGGUUCUUCCCUAAAUUGAAGAACCUUAAUUCCUAAACUGAAGACAAACGCAUGAUGAAUUAGAGCUUCCAAGUUGAAAUUGAGUGACUAAUUUGAUUAAUCAACAGAGAUGUACAGACGGAGAAGAAGAAGAAGCAUGGUUAUAGAUGGUGGUUGAUUUAGGGUUGAAUCGAAGAUGGUGGUUGAUUUUGGGUUCUAAUGAUGAAUUAGGGGUUUAAUCUGUUGUUGUUGUUUGUAUGGACAGUGAGAAGAAUUAAAAGUUAGGCAUUGUUCGAUUUGAUAAUGGUGAUAGAGAUGAAGGUAAAGAUAUGCUUUAAAGGUAGCUGCUUUUGGUUGUGAUGUUCAAGAAUUUGUAGUCGAGAAGGGAAAGUGUUGAAUCAGGGAGGAAGCGUUGAAUUGCAGAUUUGUGUAUAAAUGAAGUGUUCUUGAUGGCUGAAGUUAUAGCUCUCGGUGAUGUGGUGUUGUAAUAGUGGUUGUACACAGAUGAAGAAGAACUAGGGUCGGUGCCAUUGUAUUUUGGAUGUGAAUUGGGAGGCUUUAUUGCAAGGUGGAGAUGUAUGUUGGUUGGUUGGUUUACCAUGGUGUUGUUCAAUCGACUGAAUGUAGGUUCAGCUUGAUGAUUUAUCUAUCGGAGACUACAUGGCAAUGGAAGUUUGUUGUAGUCUAACUUAUGUAUGAGAUGUUGCCAUCGGUGGUGGUGUAUAGAAGGCAUGGGAAUAUUUGAAAGAGCCUGUGUAUGAAUGUUAGAACUAUUGUGCUCAGAGGGUAUGAUAGUAAUUUCAGUUGACAAUUUCAUUUUA